rnacentral:rRNA from 1 species
GAGUUUGAUCCUGGCUCAGAUUGAACGCUGGCGGCAGGCCUAACACAUGCAAGUCGAACGGGAUCUUCGGAUCUAGUGGCGGACGGGUGAGUAACGCGUGGGAACGUACCCUUUGGUUCGGAAUAGCCCUGGGAAACUGGGAGUAAUACCGGAUACGGUCGAGAGACGAAAGAUUUAUCGCCGAAGGAUCGGCCCGCGUUGGAUUAGGUAGUUGGUGGGGUAAUGGCCUACCAAGCCGACGAUCCAUAGCUGGUUUGAGAGGAUGAUCAGCCACACUGGGACUGAGACACGGCCCAGACUCCUACGGGAGGCAGCAGUGGGGAAUCUUAGACAAUGGGGGAAACCCUGAUGCAGCAAUGCCGCGUGUGUGAAGAAGGCCUGCGGGUUGUAAAGC